rnacentral:misc_RNA from 1 species
GUGAAUCAUCAAAUCUUUGAACGCAUAUUGCACCAUCUGGUAUUCCGGGGAGUAUGCCUAUUUGAGGGUCAUUUGGAAUAAUAUAAAUUUCGAGAUUUUCUUGAAUUCAACAAUGGGUCGGUACAGCUUGCGUGUGGUGGUCGCCUAAAAUGCAAGACAAGCCCAUUUCUUGGAUUGUGUGAUAAUUCCA